AUGCUAAAGGUGAUUUUUUAAGACUGGGCCUUAUAACAAUAUAAAACAAUUCUUUAUAAAAGGAUCAUUAAUUUAUUUUUUGAAUGAAAGGGGAGUAAUAACAGAUAUAUGUCAGCAUAUCCCUGAAAAUAAAUCCUGAGAAAAAUAACAUUACGAACCAUUCAACAUCAAGAAUCCAAUCCUUCGUCAUUACAUUACAGAGGAAAAUAAAUCAUUGAUAAAACGGUAUCACGUUAUUUCUCAACAUCUAUUUUUUUUAAGCAGAAAAUGUCAACACAAAAAAAAUUGCAUCAAUCAUGUCUCAUCUAAAGACUGAGUCUUAUUGAAACUACACGCAUAUACAAAGGAAGAAAGGGCGCGUCUUAAGAGGGGGGAAAUGUCCCUUUCUCUGUAUUGAUCGAUUAAAAUAGAGACGUAAAUUAACAUUCACUAUUUCAAGGAGGAUCAAUUGCACGAAAUAAUCUUAAAACUAUUAUUUGAAAAUGUGGCUAAAACGACAUGCACUUGACAUUUUUAAUCUAUAUUUCUGGUUUUUAGUUCGAAAAAAAGGGAGUGUGAGUUCUGAAACCAACAUAAGUAAAUCAAAACUCUUCAUCGAAAAAUAGUUGAAAGUUCUGUAUUUCCGGUUCGAUAAGAAGUACCUCCAAAAGUCCUAAACAAAAUUUAUCAGAACUAUUAAAGAAAAAACGAUCAGCUUCAGGAAUGCAAUCAGGGCAGAUAGAAGGAUUAUGGUGGAGGAUUCAUUUGCCAAUCAAAAUGUUGAAGUGAAUACUCCAAAUACUAUGAGGGGAAAAAUCAACUUCCGAUCAAUGGACUGGCCAAGACCUAUAAAAUCAUUCAAGGAGAACUCGACCGCCGUAAGACUUAAUUACCGGAAUUGAUUAUUUAUGAGUGCUUCGUUCGUUUAAAAAAACCCUAGUAUGUGUGGUGAUAACAUAAAAGCAAGCUGGGAUACUUUUUCUCAAUAUUGCGACAGUAUGAUAAACGUAUCUGUUAUUGUGAGUACUAUAAUGGAUAUUAAUUCAAAAAAGUGAUAAAUUCCUUAGGAGCCCUGGAUUUUAAGCAUAAAUUAACCUGAUAAAAAUUGGUUAUUUGUUAAACUAUCAUAAAAAGAUACUGAGACGUCCUGACGUGAAAAUUAUUUCUAAAGAAGAUUGUAUAAAUAUUAACGUAAUAAUAACGGUUAAAAGAAAGGGAUUAGCUGGUGAAGAACAAACCUCACCACCUGAAAUUGAUUAUAUUGAUGAUAUCAAAAUUUGAUUUAAAGAUCAAAUACUGCUGGAUCAAAUUGACUGAAUUUGUAUAUAUUAUGUUCAUGUAAAAA
rnacentral:lncRNA from 1 species